CUAAACUGAAAUCGAAAGUAACUUUUGUUUUUGUUCCAGGCUCCAUUUUGAAACAUCGCCGCAAAAAACCAAAAGAGAAGAUACAAUAAUAACGCUCCAUUUUGAGACAUCGCUGUAAAAAAUACAAGGGAAGAUACAAUAAUAACGGUUCAGCAAAGAAAAGUAUGGGGAAACAAAUUCAGCCGGAGAGACCAGCCUCCCCUGUACCCAGCUGUGUGUCCAUGAAGAGUAACUUUUCUAUGAAUCCUCCUAUUGAGUUCAGAAAGGGAGACUUUUCUAUUGAACAAAGGUAGGAAGAAGUCAUGGGUCAUGAUCAGUGAUUGUCAACAUUGUCUCUUAUAUGUUUAUUUGGUUCCCCAUUAUCUGAUGCCU
ensembl:lncRNA